rnacentral:rRNA from 1 species
UACGGAGGGAGCUAGCGUUGUUCGGAAUUACUGGGCGUAAAGCGCACGUAGGCGGCUUUUUAAGUCAGAGGUGAAAUCCCGGGGCUCAACCCCGGAACUGCCUUUGAAACUGGAGAGCUAGAAUCUUGGAGAGGCGAGUGGAAUUCCGAGUGUAGAGGUGAAAUUCGUAGAUAUUCGGAAGAACACCAGUGGCGAAGGCGGCUCACUGGACUGGUAUUGACGCUGAGGUGCGAAAGCGUGGGGAGCAAACAGG